rnacentral:rRNA from 1 species
GUCGACGCUUCUUUUCCCACCGGAGCUUGCUCCACCGGGAAAAGAGGAGUGGCGAACGGGUGAGUAACACGUGGGUAACCUGCCCAUCAGAAGGGGAUAACACUUGGAAACAGGUGCUAAUACCGUAUAACAAUCGAAACCGCAUGGUUUCGUUUUGAAAGGCGCUUUACGGUGCCGCUGAUGGAUGGACCCGCGGUGCAUUAGCUAGUUGGUGAGGUAACGGCUCACCAAGGCCACGAUGCAUAGCCGACCUGAGAGGGUGAUCGGCCACAUUGGGACUGAGACACGGCCCAAACUCCUACGGGAGGCAGCAGUAGGGAAUCUUCGGCAAUGGACGAAAGUCUGACCGAGCAACGCCGCGUGAGUGAAGAAGGUUUUCGGAUCGUAAAACUCUGUUGUUAGAGAAGAACAAGGGUGAGAGUAACUGUUCACCCCUUGACGGUAUCUAACCAGAAAGCCACGGCUAACUACGUGCCAGCAGCCGCGGUAAUACGUAGGUGGCAAGCGUUGUCCGGAUUUAUUGGGCGUAAAGCGAGCGCAGGCGGUUUCUUAAGUCUGAUGUGAAAGCCCCCGGCUCAACCGGGGAGGGUCAUUGGAAACUGGGAGACUUGAGUGCAGAAGAGGAGAGUGGAAUUCCAUGUGUAGCGGUGAAAUGCGUAGAUAUAUGGAGGAACACCAGUGGCGAAGGCGGCUCUCUGGUCUGUAACUGACGCUGAGGCUCGAAAGCGUGGGGAGCAAACAGGAUUAGAUACCCUG